CUACGGGAGGCACCAGUGGGGAAUCUUAGACAAUGGGGGAAACCCUGAUCUAGCCAUGCCGCGUGAGUGAUGAAGGCCCUAGGGUCGUAAAGCUCUUUCGCCAGGGAUGAUAAUGACAGUACCUGGUAAAGAAACCCCGGCUAACUCCGUGCCAGCAGCCGCGGUAAUACGGGAGGGGGUUAGCGUUGUUCGGAAUUACUGGGCGUAAAGCGCGCGUAGGCGGAUUAGAAAGUUGGGGGUGAAAUCCCGGGGCUCAACCCCGGAACUGCCUCCAAAACUACUAGUCUAGAGUUCGAGAGAGGUGAGUGGAAUUCCGAGUGUAGAGGUGAAAUUCGUAGAUAUUCGGAGGAACACCAGUGGCGAAGGCGGCUCACUGGCUCGAUACUGACGCUGAGGUGCGAAAGUGUGGGGAGCAAACAGGAUUAGAUACCCGAGUAGUC
rnacentral:rRNA from 1 species